rnacentral:lncRNA from 1 species
AACAAUAUUUUUAUUUAGGUAAAAAUAUAUAGAACUUAUCUGAACUAUGUACUAUUUUGAAUCGGCUACCCAAACUUUCAAAAUUAUGAUUUUACUAUCCAAUCGUUCAAUCUGUUUGAUUUGAAUCAGUCAACGAUACUCUAAUUUCAAAAUGUAAACCAAUUACUUACUUUAAUAAAUUUAUAAUUAUGAAAAUCAUAAAAAAAAAUAUUAAUUAAAUAUAUAAAAAUAAACAGGCACAUUUAAAUUACAAAAUUAAAAUAUCAUUGACUGAUUCAAAUCAAAUAAAUUGAAAGAUUAAAUAGUAGUUAUUUUAAAAUAGUUCAUAUAAUAUAGGUCAGACAAGUUCAUUA